rnacentral:lncRNA from 1 species
CUACUCACAUGUCAAGCAAGUAACUCUAAUGGUUGGAAUAAUGUAAGUAGUCCUUAGACCUGAGGCAUCGUCGUUGUCUUGUGGCUAAGUACUUAAUCUUUGAUUAUGUCAAAGUCUCCCCAUUCGAGGGUGUCCACGGCAUGAUUGGGGGUUAAGCCACUUAGUCAUGAAGGCAAGUGUAUGCACAACAAGGAAUCUCUAAUCCUCGGUAAGAGAGGAAGAAUGCUCUAAGAUAUGAUUCGAGAAUCUUCGGCCGAAGUAUUGAGCGUAUUAAAAGGAAUGCGUUCCUAUACGACUCAAAUGAAUCAUAUAAGAAGGAAUAAUCACAUUAGGGGUUUGACAUAAUAUAUCCAUACCCUAAUGAUGUGAUUGAGAGUAUUGUAUUAGAGAAGGAUCGAAUUACAUUGUAAUUCUAACUGAAUAGGUUCUCUGAAUAAACUUCUACAUUAGCUUGGGUAGCUAUGACAUAUGGUUAGAUGUCACUCAUUGCUUGUGAGUUCUUCUAGAUGAUUAAAUGUAGUCAUCAAAGAAGAAUGGUGAAUUGAAAUGAAGUUUCAAUUCACUAAGUGAUUGAAUUAAUUGGAUUAGUGCCAAUUACCUCACUGCCUUGCUAAUUAGAACCUAAAAGAUUGUUCACCAAUACACUAUUGUAGUGAGUAAUUAAUGGAUGAUGGAAACAAUUAAUUGGAUUAAUUAUGUGUUGUGAUUAAUUUAGAAAAGUCUAAAGAAAUCAUAAAAGCGAUAAAGAUUGUUUUGGGCUUAAAGAAACGUUCGGGUUUAAUUGGGCCCAUUGGGCCUAAACCCAUUGGGCUUUCAUUCAAGCAUUGGAUGACUUGAAAUAAUAAAAGCCCAAAGCCCAAACAACACUACAAGGGCCGGCCACUUUAGGUGUUUAGGAGAGAAGAAUAGUCAAGUUGUUGACUAGGUUUCUUUUGUCUAUAAAAGGAACUUUAUAGCAAAUGUUUCUAGAGGGUUUUUGUGUGUUUAGAACUACAAAGAGGCUAAAGAAAAACUCUCUCAAAUAUUCACAAGGGCCGGCCACCUUAAGGGAAAAAUAGCUAACAAUCUUUCACCCUUUUGGUUAUUCCUUCAUCCUUCUCAUUACACUAGUGGGUGAGGAUCUUUAGAGGUUUCCUACUUUGGAAACUUGAAGAGAACCUAGGAGCACUCAUUCUUUCAAAGUGGAGGAGGCAAGGAGGGAAGCUAGGCUCAAGGAUUUCAAGGAGCAAAGAGCUUGGAGGUGGUCCAUCCUUGGUCUAAAAUCAAGAUCAAGAGGUAUAGAUCUAUUCCUUGACUUUGUUCUUGAUUCUUUAAAAUGUUAUGAUGCAUUAUAUAUAAACCUAUGAACCUUGAAGGGGAUUUGCAUGACUAUAGCUUUGAUUUUAUUUGAUAACAUGCUUCCGUUGCUCAUGUAUAUAAAUUUUGAAUUGUAUAUGCAUGCUAGUCAUCUAGAAAUCCCACAUGAAACUCAUAAAUUUCCCUUCAAUUGGUAUCAGAGCCAAAGGUUUAUGUAUAAUGUGUCCUUUUGGAUUUUAUGCAUAUGGGUAUUAAUGUUAUGUAUGACAUAUUACUUUUCCAUUCAAAGUAUGUUUAUCUUUUGUUUUUCAAUAGUUGAAAAAUGUUAGUCAAAAGUUGAGAAAGAUAUGUAUGCAAAAUGUUUUGUAUGCAUGAAUGAAAAAUGAGUUUAGAACUAGUAUGACAUAUUAUUUCUUCAUUUAAAAGUAUGUUUAUCUUUUGUUUUUCAAUGGUUGAAAAAUAUAAAUCAAGAGUUGAAAAAGAUAUGCAUGUAAAAGUUGUUUUGUAUGCAUGAAUGAAGAAUAAGUCAUGAACAAAAUUUGGGGUUUUGUUACUUGGGGUUGGCAUGGUUUUGGCUUAGUGUUUGUGUUUUUAUUUUGAAUCACACACACACUUUAAAGCUAGAAAGUAGAAAUCUUGUCACUUUUGUUUUUGGGUUUGAAAAAUCACCAAGAACAUAUAAAUCUUGAAAAUGUGUUCAUGGUUUUGUUCUUGGUGUUCAUGGUUUGGAUUUGAUGAAAAUGGUUUUCAUGCAUUGUUUUGUGGUUUUGGAUGAUGUACAUACCAUCCAUAGCCAUCUCAAAAAUAUAUUAAAUCCUAAUCUUUAUUAGGUGAAUUUCCAUCAUUUUGUUUCAUUAAAGUCCUUAAAGCAUAGACAAGUGACAAAUAAAAUUUGUUAUUCCUACUUUGAAAUGAUUUAAAGCAAGAUAAGUGAGACCUUCCAUCCCCACAAUAUAUGGCCGGCCUACCCUAUCAAAAUACCCACUUGUGGGGUAUUUUGUAAUUUAGAAAAAGACAUUUUAUACUGUUGAGUAUUUAUGGUUUGACCCCUAACUUUUUCUUAUUUGCAAUUAGGCCCCUACUAACUAGAAAGUUAAAAUAUUUGAUUUUAAUUUUGUUAGUUGUUUAAACUCAUAUUUAUAUUAUGCCCAUAUGCACU